rnacentral:lncRNA from 1 species
UUUGCUGAUUCUUCAAUUGCACUUCAGAAACUAAGGUCAACCAACUAACCACAAGGUGCAUUUAAUGAAACAAAGAAGAAAUCCUAAAGAAAGAAGGAAGCGCGCAAAAACUAGAAAGAAGACACUGACAAUUUGGAAAGUAACACAUGAACUAGGUUUUGUGCUACUUGAAAAAUAUCACCUACAGUAUAGACACAAGCAAACAAUACUCCAGCAAUGUAAAGGAAGCAAAAGCAAGCUUAAACCAAAAAAGAAACUUAGAAAUCAAAUAAAAACGAACCUGGACAAAAAAUAUUGCAUUUAAUUCACUUCAACGCAAAUUAAAUAUGGAUCUACUUAAAUCUAUCCAAAAAGGAAAGUAUCAAAACCCCACAAAUAGAAUCAGAAAAGAAAAAUGUAAAUUUCUCUCAGAUCAGAAACAUGGACGAAAAUUCUAGUGUUAAAAGAAGGAUUUGACAUCAAAUCAAUUUAGAUGCAAUUGCCCUAAAUGUGCACUUUAGGAAAUAGGAAGAAUUUCUUUUAUCUCCUAAUCUGGAUUCAACCAAAUUCAAAAUUCAAAUUGAUUCCCAUAAAUUACUGCAAUUAAUUGAGAUAGGUAAGGCAAUAUAGAUGAAAAAGGAAGCAUAUCACAAUUUCGGCCAGAUCA